GACGUAGGGCGCGAGCGUUGUCCGGAAUUAUUGGGCGUAAAGAGCGCGUAGGCGGUCCGAUAAGUCGGCUGUGAAAGUCAGGGGCUCAACCCUUGAAAGCCGGCCGAUACUGUCGGACUAGAGUCCGGAAGAGGCAAGUGGAAUUCCCGGUGUAGCGGUGAAAUGCGCAGAUAUCGGGAGGAACACCAAUGGCGAAGGCAGCUUGCUGGGACGGUACUGACGCUGAGGCGCGAAAGCGUGGGGAGCAAACAGG
rnacentral:rRNA from 1 species